GACGAACGCUGGCGGCGUGCUUAACACAUGCAAGUCGAACGAGAAGAGAUGAGAAGCUUGCUUCUUAUCAAUUCGAGUGGCAAACGGGUGAGUAACGCGUAAGCAACCUGCCCUUCAGAUGGGGACAACAGCUGGAAACGGCUGCUAAUACCGAAUACGUUCUUUUGUCGCAUGGCAGAGGGAAGAAAGGGAGGCUCUUCGGAGCUUUCGCUGAAGGAGGGGCUUGCGUCUGAUUAGCUAGUUGGAGGGUAACGGCCACCAAGGCGACGAUCAGUAGCCGGUCUGAGAGGAUGAACGGCCACAUUGGGACUGAGACACGGCCCAGACUCC
rnacentral:rRNA from 1 species